AAGUGGAGUCUGGAGGGAGAACAACACAAAGUAGGAAAUUGAUUCCCUCGCCCUUGCUUGCUUCAACGACCCCGCCCGUCUUGGUGGGGUCGAUUCCCCCAUCGCCCGACUCAUCUCCGACGAGUAUGGCGUUAGUGGGUACGCCCCGCCGUUCGUAUGCUUGGCGGGUCCCAGAACACCCGUGACGUGUAUGAGCUUGACUAGGGCGAGGGGCUCGUGCUCGUGCUCGAGCUCGACAAGACGCACUUCGAUCUCGUCACCAACUACGAGCUGGACUGUGAGACUCCAGAGCAGGCGGGGGCGACGAAGACGAAAGUGGGGGCAGUUCGAGCUUGUCGCUGCCGGAGACCCUGGAGAGGUGCGCGAAGAGACCUGGUAAACUGCACUAAUAACAAAUCAGAUGUCAUCUCUCAUGUUGCUAAUUCAACCCUGGACGAUGUUGCGCGGCCCGCGGCCAUGGACGAUGUGCUGUUGGACAACGACGCGAGGCCGAGGCAGCCAAUGUGAAUGACCACUGGAAAUCAUUUACCUUUCAAUCUUGGAAGGCCCUAAGCUGAAGGAGAGCAUCAGUUGUCAUGAGAGAUAAGCAAUAUCUAUUAGACACGCAUACUAUCAGGCUAACGCAAACCACUCGGGAAAGUAUACUUA